CACCCGGAGCAGAUGAAGAUGCAGGCGGAGGAGAGCAGCUNCGGGAUGGCGCGCCAGUCCCAGCCGGGCCCCAGCUCGACGUCCCAGUCGCCGACCCUCGCCGCCGAUCCGCCGCCGCGUGCCGCCGCCAUGGCGCCCGGCUGCUCCGUUCGGGCUGGAAUUGGAGUGUGAAUGGGAAUGGGAAUGGGAACGGAAUCGGAUCGGAUUCCAGCGAGCCACCGACCGCGGCGAUUUAUGAGGGAUGGGCGCGGCGGGGCGCGCGUAUUGGGAUAAGGGAGGG
rnacentral:lncRNA from 1 species